GGAUGUGAGGGCGAUCUGGCUGCGACAUCUGUCACCCCAUUGAUCGCCAGGGUUGAUUCGGCUGAUCUGGCUGGCUAGGCGGGUGUCCCCUUCCUCCCUCACCGCUCCAUGUGCGUCCCUCCCGAAGCUGCGCGCUCGGUGGAAGAGGACGACCAUCCCAGAUAGAAGGAGUGUACCGUUCUUCGGUCAAAGGUAUACGAUAGCUGCGCUCCCAUGCUAGAACCUCCAAACAAGCUCAAGGCCAGAUAAUAAUAAUAAUAACAACAAACAAACAAACAAACACUGCAGCAAAAUCCUUU